GACGAACGCUGGCGGCGUGCUUAACACAUGCAAGUCGAACGAAGAGCGACGGCAGCUGGGGGCUAUUAGAGUGACGAGCGGACGGGUAAGUAGUGAGUAAUCAACCCUCGACUCAGGGGGGAAUACAAGAAGGAGGGGAUAGUAAAGACUGCGAACGACCGAAGCACGGCGUGGGGGGGAGAGGUUAGGUGGUUGGGGAUGGACUCGCGGCUUAGCAGCUGGGUGGUGGGGCAGUGGCUUACGACGGCGGUGAAGGGUAGCAGGACUGCGAGGGUGACCGGCCACAUUGGGACUGAGAUACGGCCCAGACUCCUACGGGCGGCAGCAGUGGGGAAUAUUGCACAAUGGGCGGAAGCCUGAUGCAGCAACGCCGCGUGCGGGAUGACGGCCUUCGGGGUGUAAACCGCUUUCGCCUGUGACGGAGCGUGAGUGACGGUAAUGGGUAAAGAAGCACCGGCUAACUACGUG
rnacentral:rRNA from 1 species